rnacentral:rRNA from 1 species
CCAGACUCCUACGGGAGGCAGCAGUGGGGGAUAUUGCACAAUGGGGGAAACCCUGAUGCAGCGACGCCGCGUGAAGGAAGAAGUAUCUCGGUAUGUAAACUUCUAUCAGCAGGGAAGAAAAUGACGGUACCUGACCAAGAAGCCCCGGCUAACUACGUGCCAGCAGCCGCGGUAAUACGUAGGGGGCAAGCGUUAUCCGGAUUUACUGGGUGUAAAGGGAGCGUAGGCGGCGACGCAAGUCAGAAGUGAAAGCCCGGGGCUCAACUCCGGGACUGCUUUUGAAACUGCGUUGCUAGAUUGCGGGAGAGGCAAGUGGAAUUCCUAGUGUAGCGGUGAAAUGCGUAGAUAUUAGGAGGAACACCAGUGGCGAAGGCGGCUUGCUGGACCGUGAAUGACGCUGAGGCUCGAAAGCGUGGGGAGCAAACAGGAUUAGAUACCCGCGUACU